AUGGUAGGUGAUCUGCAUACCAUGAUGAUAUCGGGUAACGGGAAAUCAGGGCUUGAUUCCGGAAAAAGAGCCAGAGAAAUGGCUACCACUUCCAAGGGAGGUAGCAGGCGUGCAAAUUACCCACUCCCAGUAUGGGGAGGUGGUGAAGAAAAAUACCGAUGCGGGACUCUUAUUGAGGCUUCAUAAUCGGAAUGAGUGAACUCUUAAUUUUUUCACGAGGAUCAAUUGGAGGGCAAGUCUGGCGCCCUUAGCGGUGGUAACUCAAGCUUCAAUAGCGUAUAUUUUAGUUGUUGCAGUUAAAAAGCUCGUAGUUGGAUCUCGGUAUCACUGUCGCCUGUCAGUCCUCGGCUGAGUGUGUCGGUGUAGGUGGGGCCUUGCUUCGCUCGGUGGCCCUUGCCCAGGCAUGGUUAUGCUCGAUUUGAUGUGGUGGUGGUGGUGUCACCUUUCAGCCAUGUCUNAUGUCUGCGGUGAAAUACCCGCAGGUUUAGGCGAGUGUCAGGUGGUGCUUUGCGAGAACAGGGUCCGUCGGCUUGUGGCAAUCAAGCGUUCAAAGCGACGUCGUUUUUUGAUCCAUCGAUGUCGGCUCUUCCUAUCAUUG
rnacentral:ncRNA from 1 species